ACGUGGAUAACCUACCUAUAAGACUGGGAUAACUUCGGGAAACCGGAGCUAAUACCGGAUAAUAUUUUGAACCGCAUGGUUCAAAAGUGAAAGACGGUCUUGCUGUCACUUAUAGAUGGAUCCGCGCUGCAUUAGCUAGUUGGUAAGGUAACGGCUUACCAAGGCAACGAUGCAUAGCCGACCUGAGAGGGUGAUCGGCCACACUGGAACUGAGACACGGUCCAGACUCCUACGGGAGGCAGCAGUAGGGAAUCUUCCGCAAUGGGCGAAAGCCUGACGGAGCAACGCCGCGUGAGUGAUGAAGGUCUUCGGAUCGUAAAACUCUGUUAUUAGGGAAGAACAUAUGUGUAAGUAACUGUGCACAUCUUGACGGUACCUAAUCAGAAAGCCACGGCUAACUACGUGCCAGCAGCCGCGGUAAUACGUAGGUGGCAAGCGUUAUCCGGAAUUAUUGGGCGUAAAGCGCGCGUAGGCGGUUUUUUAAGUCUGAUGUGAAAGCCCACGGCUCAACCGUGGAGGGUCAUUGGAAACUGGAAAACUUGAGUGCAGAAGAGGAAAGUGGAAUUCCAUGUGUAGCGGUGAAAUGCGCAGAGAUAUGGAGGAACACCAGUGGCGAAGGCGACUUUCUGGUCUGUAACUGACGCUGAUGUGCGAAAGCGUGGGGAUCAAACAGGAUUAGAUACCCUGGUAGUCCACGCCGUAAACGAUGAGUGCUAAGUGUUAGGGGGUUUCCGCCCCUUAGUGCUGCAGCUAACGCAUUAAGCA
rnacentral:rRNA from 1 species